rnacentral:rRNA from 1 species
GUUUCCCUACGGGGCGCAGCAGUGAGGAAUAUUGGUCAAUGGUCGGGAGACUGAACCAGCCAAGCCGCGUGAGGGAGGAAGGUACAGAGUAUCGUAAACCUCUUUUGUCAGGGAACAAAGACUGGGACGCGUCCCCGGAUGAGUGUACCUGAAGAAAAAGCAUCGGCUAACUCCGUGCCAGCAGCCGCGGUAAUACGGAGGAUGCGAGCGUUAUCCGGAUUUAUUGGGUUUAGAGGGUGCGCAGGCGGUCUGUUAAGUCAGCGGUCAAAGCCCGGGGCUCAACCCCGGCCCGCCGUUGAAACUGG